rnacentral:lncRNA from 1 species
GAAAAAAAAAAGCCACACACAAAAGCAGAGUAAGAAAACUUAAGAAUUUACUAUGGACAAGUUUAAUAGCUCAAAUAAAAAUAAGAAUGUUGGAUUUGAGAACAGUAGAAAAUCUAUAAAGGACUAGAUAAUGAAUAACUACAUUUACUAAAAUAAAUUAGAGUGCCUUUGUUUAGUGCUCUGCCUUUGUAAAAAUAUUUUACACAUCAUCCUCUUACAGUAUACCCAUUGUUAUCUAUUUUAUUUCCAUUUCUUUCCCUUGUUUGCUAGAACUGUUGAGGAUUUCACUCCCCUGCUGUUUUAAUGACAGGCUUGACAUUCAUUUUGCUUUGCUGCCUAUGAUGAGCGUAAAAGGUACGCUUUCCGCCUCUGCUCUCUACACAAAUAGCCGAUGUGAUUUUACAACUAAGAUGCUACACCAUCUCUGGGAGUACUGUGGACUCAGGGAGGCCCUGGUAAGUUGGAAUGUUGGACUGCCUCAGUUAAUUUUUGCUGAACUUUCUUGGAAGAGCUGAGUGGGCCCUUUUUAAGCCUCCAUCCCAACACAUGGGAUUUAAAAGACUUGGCCCUGUUGAAGUCUUACCCUCUGACCCUGAAUCCAUCAGUUUCCUUCUUCUUUGCGCUCACUACAUGAGGGCUUUGAUUUGAGAGCUGAAACUGGAGGCCCGGCCUCUCUCUUCUCCUGUAUGAGAUGGCCAGACUCCAACUUUCCCUCAGCAAUUUUGCCUCUCAUAUCUUUUCUUGGUCUUGCAAAGACUAAACACUUUUUCUUAUUGUCCCCAACAGAGAAACUCAGAAUUCAUGACCAGUGGAACUCAAGACAUCUUGAAUGAGAAUAAUAUGAAUCACGGAAAGCUCCAUGCACUGCAUUUAAUAAAGAUGUUGAUAGCCACAAGACUUGUUUCAUCCAUAAACUGGAACCUUGGGAUGGGAGGAAAAAGUGGUACAAGACUGGACCCCACCUUUGCAGUGAAGAUUGGUAGACUUAGGUAUUCAGCAAGCAACAACCUUCUUUGUAUCUGGGAUCUACAGACAUGAAUAUCCACUUGCACACAGAUGACUUCAGUUUCCUCAUUCCCACCAAAAGUACGUGACAUUAUCUCAUUAUAUAAGCUGCCACAUACAACUCUUGGUUCUUCCACUUUUUGCUCAGGUGCCAGAACUAUCAAAAUAGCCCAGUGUCACCCUGGCUGGAUGAGAGAGAAAGGCAGGGGCUAGGUUUGCCAGCUGGGAGACCUGAUGGUUACUCCUUUGGCUUUGUCC